rnacentral:hammerhead_ribozyme from 1 species
UUAUUGCUGAGGAGUCAGUCCCACAAUAGGACGAAACGGCCGUCCAGUAC